ACUGGGAGUGGAAGGAGAGCCCAGAGGUUUCCAGGGACUGGUCCUGACCUCUCCCUUCCCUCCCCACAG
ensembl:miRNA